CCCUGAACCUUUUCCUACAAUGAAGACACAUCAGAAGAGGCAACAUCUCUCAUUUCACAUUCACUCAUUGGAGAAAGCUGUGUUUCUCCUGCAGCAGCACAAACCUGGAGGAUGUCUCCAGCUGUGAUUGGAUUUCUUCUCAUCUUGCUUCCAUAUCAAACAGAGAGUACAACGUUUCAGCCGUCUCACCCAAGAAUAGUCAAGGAAAGAGCCAGGGUGGAAAUUAAAUGCAGUCACGAUAAUAACGACCUUAACAUAAUGCUCUGGUACCAGCAAACAAAGAGUGGUCUGAUGAAUUUAAUUGGAUAUAACUACAUUGGCAGUGACCCCAACUACGAGAAGCAGUUUGAACAUCAGUUUGAGAUUACGAGAGAAAACAUCCGAACAGGAGCUCUGAUCAUUCACAGUGUGAAUGUAUCAGACUCAGCUGUGUAUUUCUGCGCUGCCAGUACACAGUGAUGUGGUUUAAUGUCACCCCAAUACUAAAAACCCUGCUCUCUCCUCUCUGUUGUUUUCAAGUUCAGCAUCCUGAGAGUCAGGCCGGCAGAGAAGUUAUUGUGUUGGUAUUGCCUCAGCUUGCUUGGAACCUCCAUGGAGGUGACGUCAAAAACAAGUAUCAAGCACUAUCUACAACUUCUGCCCAAAAGAAAACCAAAAAAGAGUGAUGAGUGACUGUGCAUCAUUCAGCUGUACGAAGGCUCGUCACUAACAUGCUCAUCACAGUCCUUUGUCUGUUACUCCUUUUACACUCAGGUCUCACUGUUGUAGUUCUGCAGUCUGGGGAUCAAGUGUCUCACCCAGGAGCCACAGUGAUGAUGGAGUGCAGCAUGGGUCCAGGGUUCAGCAUGGGCAGCUACACCAUGUACUGGUACCGACAAAACCACCACGGAGCUCCAAUUGAGUUCCUCAUCAGGGAAUACGACCGAACUGCAGGGCACUUCCAGUCGUCUAUCGAUACAGCCAAAAACUACUUCUCUCUUCAAAUUACUGAGCUGUUCCUGAAUGAUAGCAGCACCUACUACUGUGCUGCCAGUCACAGUGAUGAAAACAGACCAGACAUUCAUACAAAUACCACGUCUGUGUGUACCAGAUGAUGCAGGCAGGAAGGAGCUGUGGCUUGUUUGGUUUCUAUAUAAUGAAAAGGUAUGAUAAGGUUUGAGCUGAAAGUAGGUUAAGACACACUGGGCCAA